rnacentral:sRNA from 1 species
ACCUAGCCCCGAUUGCAACGGCAUCCUUUUUGGUUGCGGGCGGGGCAUAAACUGAAAGUUUACGAACAUGGUUCAGGAGCCCGCAACCAAAAAGAUAAAGUGGAAAGCGGGAAAUUGC